rnacentral:rRNA from 1 species
GGACCUGACUGCUAUCGGAUUGAUACUAAGCCAUGCGAGUCAUUGUAGCAAUACAAGGCAUACGGCUCAGUAACGCGUAGUCAACCUAACCUAUGGACGGGAAUAACCUCGGGAAACUGAGAAUAAUGCCCGAUAGAACAUUAUACCUGGAAUGGUUUAUGUUCCAAAUGAUUUAUCGCCGUAGGAUGGGACUGCGGCCUAUCAGUUUGUUGGUGAGGUAAUGGCCCACCAAGACUAUUACAGGUACGGGCUCUGAGAGGAGUAGCCCGGAGAUGGGUACUGAGACACGGACCCAGGCCCUAUGGGGCGCAGCAGGCGAGAAAACUUUGCAAUGUGCGAAAGCACGACAAGGUUAAUCCGAGUGAUUUCUGCUAAAGAAAUCUUUUGUUAGUCCUAGAAACACUAACGAAUAAGGGGUGGGCAAGUUCUGGUGUCAGCCGCCGCGGUAAAACCAGCACCUCAAGUGGUCAGGAUGAUUAUUGGGCCUAAAGCAUCCGUAGCCGGCUCUGUAAGUUUUCGGUUAAAUCUGUACGCUUAACGUACAGGCCGCCGGGAAUACUGCAAAGCUAGGGAGUGGGAGAAGUAGACGGUACUCGGUAGGAAGUGGUAAAAUGCUUUGAUCUAUCGAUGACCACCUGUGGCGAAGGCGGUCUACUAGAACACGUCCGACGGUGAGGGAUGAAAGCUGGGGGAGCAAACCGGAUUAGAUACCCGGGUAGUCCCAGCUGUAAACUAUGCAAACUCAGUGAUGCAUUGGCUUGUGGCCAAUGCAGUGCUGCAGGGAAGCCGUUAAGUUUGCCGCCUGGGAAGUACGUACGCAAGUAUGAAACUUAAAGGAAUUGGCGGGGGAGCACCACAAGGGGUGAAGCCUGCGGUUCAAUUGGAUUCAACGCCGGA